rnacentral:lncRNA from 1 species
UAUAAUGACAUUGAUUACAAAGGGGAUAUUUCUUGCAUUAAUCAGAAAGAUCAAAUAAUCUUUUCACCUGAGGCACCUAAAUGAAAAUAUAUCGGAUUUUUACUAUUCUUUUUUUUGAAAGAGUGAUUUUUUCGAGAUUUUAAGAAAUUGAGUACUGAAAAUUAUUUUCUCUGUCUGAUUCUCUUAUGUUUAAAUUGGUUGGUGGAUGCAAGUUCUUCCGAUUGA